rnacentral:rRNA from 1 species
CGGCGAGUGAAGCGGCAACAGCUCAAAUUUGAAAUCUGGCCUCCUUGGGGGUCCGAGUUGUAAUUUGUAGAGGAUGCUUCGGCGUGGGCCCCGGUCUAAGUUCCUUGGAACAGGACGUCACAGAGGGUGAGAAUCCCGUACGUGGCCGUGGGUGCUCGCCAUGUGAAGCUCCUUCGACGAGUCGAGUUGUUUGGGAAUGCAGCUCUAAAUGGGAGGUAUAUUUCUUCUAAAGCUAAAUAUUGGCCAGAGACCGAUAGCGCACAAGUAGAGUGAUCGAAAGAUGAAAAGCACUUUGGAAAGAGAGUCAAAAAGUACGUGAAAUUGUUGAAAGGGAAGCGCUUGCAACCAGACCUGUCUGCAGUUGCUCAUCCGGGCUUCUGCCCGGUGCACUCUUCUGCAGUCAGGCCAGCAUCAGUUCUGGCGGUCGGAUAAAGGCGGUGGGAAUGUGGCUCCUCUCGGGGAGUGUUAUAGCCCAUCGUGCAAUGCGGCCAGCUGGGACUGAGGUCCGCGCUUCGGCUAGGAUGCUGGCGUAAUGGUUGUAAGCGGCCCGUCUUGAAACACGGACCAAGGAGUCUAACAUCUGUGCGAGUGUUUGGGUGUCAAGCCCAGGCGCGUAAUGAAAGUGAACGGAGGCGGGAACCUUCGGGUGCACCGUCGACCGAUCCUGAUGUCUUCGGAUGGAUUUGAGUAAGAGCAUAGCUGUUGGGACCCGAAAGAUGGUGAACUAUGCCUGAAUAGGGUGAAGCCAGAGGAAACUCUGGUGGAGGCUCGCAGCGGUUCUGACGUGCAAAUCGAUCGUCAAAUUUGGGCAUAGGGGCGAA